rnacentral:rRNA from 1 species
UUGCUCUGGUGGAUUAGUGGCGAACGGGUGAGUAACACGUGAGUAACCUGCCCUUGACUCUGGGAUAAGCGUUGGAAACGACGUCUAAUACCGGAUACGAGCUGGGACCGCAUGGUCACUAGCUGGAAAGAAUUUCGGUCAAGGAUGGACUCGCGGCCUAUCAGUUAGUUGGUGAGGUAACGGCUCACCAAGACGACGACGGGUAGCCGGCCUGAGAGGGUGACCGGCCACACUGGGACUGAGACACGGCCCAGACUCCUACGGGAGGCAGCAGUGGGGAAUAUUGCACAAUGGGCGAAAGCCUGAUGCAGCAACGCCGCGUGAGGGACGACGGCCUUCGGGUUGUAAACCUCUUUUAGCAGGGAAGAAGCGAAAGUGACGGUACCUGCAGAAAAAGCACCGGCUAACUACGUGCCAGCAGCCGCGGUAAUACGUAGGGUGCAAGCGUUGUCCGGAAUUAUUGGGCGUAAAGAGCUCGUAGGCGGUUUGUCGCGUCUGCUGUGAAAACGCGAGGCUCAACCUCGCGCCUGCAGUGGGUACGGGCAAACUAGAGUGCGGUAGGGGAGAUUGGAAUUCCUGGUGUAGCGGUGGAAUG